UAGGAGCCAAUACCAAAGUGCUUGUUUUUCUGGAUUCUCCAUUAGACCAAAAAACAAAACAAAAAAGAGAGGCUCAAGUACUUAUUUUCUCUGAUGGGAGUAUCCAGCAAAACUUAAGCACUUUGGUAUUGGCUCCUU